ACGGGAGGCAGCAGUGGGGGAUAUUGCACAAUGGGGGAAACCCUGAUGCAGCGACGCCGCGUGAGUGAUGAAGUAUUUCGGUAUGUAAAGCUCUAUCAGCAGGAUAGAUAAUGACGGUACCUGACUAAGAAGCACCGGCUAAAUACGUGCCAGCAGCCGCGGUAAUACGUAUGGUGCAAGCGUUAUCCGGAUUUACUGGGCGUAAAGGGAGUGCAGACGGCAUGGCAAGCCAGAUGUGAAAGGCAGGGGCUCAACUCCUGGACUGCAUUUGGAACUGUCAAGCUAGAGUAUCGGAGAGGUAAGUGGAAUUCCUAGUGUAGCGGUGAAAUGCGUAGAUAUUAGGAGGAACACCAGUGGCGAAGGCGGCUUACUGGACGAUAACUGACGUUGAGGCUCGAAAGCGUGGGGAGCAAACAGGAUUAGAUACCCUGGUA
rnacentral:rRNA from 1 species